AAUCAACGCUGGCGGCGUGCCUCAGACAUGCAAGUCGAACGAUUAAAGCUCUCUUCGGAGAGUGUAUAGAGUGGCGCACGGGUGAGUAACACGUAAGUAAUCUACCCUCGAGUGGGGAAUAACGUCCGGAAACGGACGCUAAUACCGCAUAAUGCAGCGGCACCGCAAGGUGACAGUUGUUAAAGGAGAAAUUCGCUUGAGGAGGAGCUUGCGGCAGAUUAGCUUGUUGGUAAGGUAACGGCUUACCAAGGCUACGAUCUGUAACCGGUCUUAGAGGACGGUCGGUCACACUGACACUGAAUAACGGGUCAGACUCCUACGGGAGGCAGCAGUCGGGAAUUUUGGGCAAUGGGCGAAAGCCUGACCCAGCAACGCCGCGUGAAGGAUGAAGUAUUUCGGUAUGUAAACUUCGAAAGAAUAGGAAGAAUAAAUGACGGUACUAUUUAUAAGGUCCGGCUAACUACGUGCCAGCCGCCGCGGUAAG
rnacentral:rRNA from 1 species